rnacentral:ncRNA from 1 species
AUAUAUGCGAUGAGCCGAUAAGUAGAAGUUCUUGCGUACCGUAGGAUACAGAAAAGAAAUCAGUGGUUGAGAGAUUUCUCCUAGACAGGACUUUGAAGUAGACGGUGAGCAUUUAGAGUGAAAGUAAGUAGCUUUAAACGUGGUUAGAGCGUUAAUCUUAUUAAGUGCUAAUUUAUAUAAUUAGAAUAAAGGUGGUACCACGGAAACUUUCGUCCUUAUG